GACGAACGCUGGCGGCGUGCUUAACACAUGCAAGUCGAACGGAAAGGCCCUGCUUUUGUGGGGUGCUCGAGUGGCGAACGGGUGAGUAACACGUGAGUAACCUGCCCUUGACUUUGGGAUAACUUCAGGAAACUGGGGCUAAUACCGGAUAGGAGCUCCUGCUGCAUGGUGGGGGUUGGAAAGUUUCGGCGGUUGGGGAUGGACUCGCGGCUUAUCAGCUUGUUGGUGGGGUAGUGGCUUACCAAGGCUUUGACGGGUAGCCGGCCUGAGAGGGUUACCGGCCACAUUGGGACUGAGAUACGGACCAGAAUCCAACGGGAGGCAGAAGUGGGGAAUAUGACACAAUAGGGGGAAGCCUGAUGCAGCAACGCCGCGUGCGGAAUGACGGCCUUCGGGUUAUAAACCGCUUUCGCCUGUGACGAAGAGUGAGUGACGGUAAUGGGUAAAGAAGCACCGGCUAACUACGUG
rnacentral:rRNA from 1 species